UCACGGGAUAGGCAACGCGAGCCGAAAAGGGCGUCCCUGGCCCCUGCCCGUGGCAAAUCAAUCAGGG
rnacentral:sRNA from 1 species